UGGGGAAUAUUGCACAAUGGGCGCAAGCCUGAUGCAGCCAUGCCGCGUGUGUGAAGAAGGCCUUCGGGUUGUAAAGCACUUUCAGCGAGGAGGAAGGUGGUGAGCUUAAUACGCUCAUCAAUUGACGUUACUCGCAGAAGAAGCACCGGCUAACUCCGUGCCAGCAGCCGCGGUAAUACGGAGGGUGCAAGCGUUAGCCGGAAUUACUGGGCGUAAAGCGCACGCAGGCGGUUUGUUAAGUCAGAUGUGAAAUCCCCGGGCUCAACCUGGGAACUGCAUUUGAAACUGGCAAGCUAGAGUCUCGUAGAGGGGGGUAGAAUUCCAGGUGUAGCGGUGAAAUGCGUAGAGAUCUGGAGGAAUACCGGUGGCGAAGGCGGCCCCCUGGACGAAGACUGACGCUCAGGUGCGAAAGCGUGGGGCAGCAAACAGGAUUAGAUACCCUGGUAGUCCACGCUGUAAAACGAUGUCGAUUUUGGAGGUUGUGCCCUUGAGGCGUGGCUUCCGGAGCUAACGCGUUAAAUCGACCGCCUGGGGAGUACGGCCGCAAGGUUAAAACUCAAAUGAAUUGACGGGGUC
rnacentral:rRNA from 1 species